UGGCUCAGUUGGUAGAGCAUGGUGUUUGCAACACAAGGGUUGUGGGUUUGAUUCCCAC
rfam:Salmo salar isolate Sally breed double haploid chromosome ssa20, whole genome shotgun sequence.